AAAGGAAAAAAUGGCUAACACUUGCACCAUCGUAAAUAGGAUCAGGUACCUGGGAAUCUGAAGAAAUGAAUGUGCAUGCUUUCUUCCCCUGCAUGACUACACAACAUACCUGCUGAUACCCUGUUUGAGAGAGGCUGGAUCAAUAGCAAUGUGGUUUCAAUACUUUGCAUAGAAAGACAGAAGGACCAGUAAGAAGGCCAUCUGCUGAGCAACCAGGAAAAUUUUCUGACCUUGAGGCUAAGGAUAUUUGCUGUACUUCAAACAGAAGAUA